rnacentral:RNase_P_RNA from 1 species
UCUUGGGCAAAUGCUGCAUAUAUUGUAAUGUAGAGGAAAGUCCAUGCUCACACAGUCUGUGAUUGAUUGUAGUGUUCGUGCCUAGGGAAAAAAUAACCUAGGGUAGCUUAUGCUAACGGCGUUGAGGAAACCUGUCAAAUGGUUUUAGUAAACAUAAAGUGCCAUAGAGACGAGUCAACUUGGAAACGAGUUGAGUGGAACGCGGUAAACCCCACGAGUGAGAAACCCAAAUUAUGGUAGGGGAGUUCUAUUUCGGGAAUCAAACUGAAAUAGGGCCUGCUUGCAGGAGAUAAAUAUUUGCCACUUUCAAUUGAGAGUACAGAACAUGGCUUAUAA